UGGACUUGAAAUCCUACGACUCUGAUAGAGAUAUCGGAGUGCUCCUUGGAGAAUGUAGUGAC
rnacentral:rRNA from 1 species